rnacentral:rRNA from 1 species
GGAAUAUUGCACAAUGGGCGAGAGCCUGAUGCAGCGACGCCGCGUGCAGGAUGACGGUCCUAUGGAUUGUAAACUGCUUUUGCACAGGAAGAAACCACUCUACGUGUAGAGUCUUGACGGUACUGUGAGAAUAAGGAUCGGCUAACUCCGUGCCAGCAGCCGCGGUAAUACGGAGGAUCCAAGCGUUAUCCGGAAUCAUUGGGUUUAAAGGGUCCGUAGGCGGUUUAGUAAGUCAGUGGUGAAAGCCCAUCGCUCAACGGUGGAACGGCCAUUGAUACUGCUAAACUUGAAUUAUUAGGAAGUAACUAGAAUAUGUAGUGUAGCGGUGAAAUGCUUAGAGAUUACAUGGAAUACCAAUUGCGAAGGCAGGUUACUACUAAUGGAUUGACGCUGAUGGACGAAAGCGUGGGUAGCGAACAGGAUUAGAUACCCGGG